rnacentral:tRNA from 1 species
GGUGAUUGUAGCUCAGUUGGUUAGAGCGCUGGAUUGUGGUUCCAGAGGUCGCCGGUUCGAUCCCGGUCUUUCACCC